UCCCUGGCAGUCCAGUGGCGAAGACUCCUUGCUCCCAAUGCAGGGGGCCCAGGUUCAAUCCCUGGUCAGGGAA
rnacentral:tRNA from 1 species